GUAUAUAGCUCAUUGGCAGAGUGCUUGCCUAGGAUGCAUGAGACACUGGGUUCGAUUCUCAGCACCACA
rnacentral:tRNA from 1 species